rnacentral:tRNA from 1 species
UUAGGGGUGCCAGAAGAUAAGAUGGGGUUGAUUUAGGAUUAAUAUAUGGGUGUUGUGCCCCCCUUGUA